CACAGAGGGGAAUAAAGAAUAAUAAAUGAAAAACACUGGCAUCUCUAUCAAUCACUCAGAAAAUAAAUGAGGGUUAAAAUGUCUGCCACUUCCUAGAUAAAAGGAAAAAUUAAUUAAAACAAAAUGCAGUGUUUUCUAAGAUGUCAAAAAAAUCAUAAUAUACAGAAAAUUUAAAAAUAUACAUGUAGUACAAUAAUCAAUAUGAACACUGAUGAAAAUAAUAAAAGUUCACCAUUUAUGAAGUGCCUAUCAUUGACCAGGGCCCUGUGAUCUUUGCUCAAAUGUCAUCUUCACAGUGAAAUCUUUACUUAAAACCUUUUUAAAAAAAUUGCCACCACCUUCAUUUCCCUAUAUUCUUUCUCUGGUUUGUUUGUCUUCACUGCUCCUAUCACCACUGAAUUUGCUACAUAUUGUAUGUAUUUAAGUGUCUAUCUCCCCAUCAAGAACAAAACUCAGUAGGGUCAGGACUGUAUAUGCUUAACUCUCAGCUAUAUAAUGAAAGUUCAGAACAAGACCCAUCACAUACUGAAGGUUCAAUACACACAUUUUUUAAUUAUUAUUUUUUUGAGACAGAGUCUGGCUGUGUCACCCAGGCUGGAGUGCAGUUGCAGAAUCAUGACUAACUGCAGGGCUCCAGGGAUCCUCCCACUUCAGCCUCCCAAGUAUCUAGGACUAUAGGCCUGUGCCACCACACCUGGCUAAUUUAGUUAUUUAUGUAUUUUUAAGUACAGAAAAGCCCUCAAAAAUGUUGCCCAGCCUGCUCUCGAACUCCUGGGCUCAAGCAAUCCUCCUGCUUCAGCCUCCCAAAGUGCUGGGAUUACAAGUGUGAGUCACCGUGCAUGGCCCAGUAUGCUCUUAAUAAAUACAUGAAUUUCAGUAAAUGGCUCCAUCCGGAGUCCAGUUAUUGAAGACCAAAAACUAGGAGUAUCCUUGAUUCCCUCAGCUCAUAUCCAAUCCAUCAGCAAAUGCAGUUAGCUCAUAAAAAUAAAUCUAAUCUCAUUAAAAUAAGUGUUUCACAUAUCCACCAGUAUCACCCAAGUUCAAGCCAACCUCAUUAUUGACCUAGCUACUGUCAUAAUCUUCCAUCAAUUCAAGCCAUUCCCCACUCAUAGCCAUAUCAGCUUUAUUAUUAUUUAUUUUUCACAAAAAAGUCAUUGUAUCAUUUCUAUACUUAAUACCUCCAGUGGCCUUAAAAUCAAAUGUAAACUCCCUAACGUGGCAUCCAAGGUCCUGCAUGAUCCAUGCCCGCUGACUUUCUCCCUUCCCCUACACCAGCCACACUCUGAUCUUAGCUCACUCAUAACUUGGGCAAAGUUCUAUCUGCCUUAGGCCUUUGAAUAUCUGUAGUCUUUGCUUAGAAUAUCUCCUAGGCCCUACCCACUUCUAAUUCUUCUAAGCUACAUUUAGACGUUACCUCCUCAGAGAAAAUUCCCAAAAUUCCUUAUCAAAAUGCCCACCUUCUCCAACCAGGGGUUAUUCUCCCUCUGUUUCCUCCUUGUUUUCUUUAUAGUACAAAUCACGGUUUUUGCUGGCUUUUUUCUGUUUAUCUUCCUCUUUAGACUUUAAGUUCUCCAAGAGAUCAAGGCCAAGAGUAUCUCUCCUCAUUGUCUAACAUCGCCUAAUAUAUAACGGGAGUUUAAUGUCUACCUGUUGAAUUCAUAAGUAAAUAAGUAGGCAUGAGACUAGGGUGAGGCACCUAGGGCAAUUGGUGGUGUUCACUCUCAGGAUUUUACGAGUGCAGGGAUGGCACAGGGUCAACCCCUGAGAGUGGAAUCUUCUGACAUGUUGUUCUGUAGGCACUCUGCUUGUUUUGUCUCUGUUUCUGCCCUAAAUCAUCAUCAAAUCACCCUUAGCACUCACCUGACUUUGAAUCUCAUUUCCAGUUUCCUGCUUCAUAACAAAAAGUGAGCCCUUAUCUUAUUUCCCUUGGCCAGAGCCCCUAGUCCAGUGGACAAGUUCAUUUAGAAUAGGGGCCAUUCUAAUUAAGUGUCUUUUGAUUGCAACCAAUAUAAAUCCCCUUGAGCAAGUUCUGGUAGUCAUGUGGUCAUUGUAAGUACAAAACAAUUUGAUGACUAUACAGCAAAAUAACUAAAAUACAGUGGUCUCACCAUAGAAAUGGAAUAAUGAAAGUUUGUGCUAACUUCUCCAUUUUCUAGAGCUUGCACAAUAUUUCUCACCUCUGCUCCUGUUCACGGAUCUAUUCCAUUGGUGUCUUUACCCACGCCUCUGUGUAGGCCUUGUACGUGGUUCUGCGCAGUCCCACAGCACAAGCCACUGCAUCUUUUCAAUU
rnacentral:lncRNA from 10 species